GAACUGCGAUAAGUAAUGUGAAUUGCAGAAUCCAGUGAAUCAUCGAGUCUUUGAACGCACAUUGCGCCCCCUGGCAUUCCGGGGGGCAUGCCUGUCCGAGCGUCAUUGCUGCCCUUCAAGCCCGGCUUGUGUGUUGGGUCGUCGUCCCCUCCGGGGGACGGGCCCGAAAGGCAGCGGCGGCACCGCGUCCGGUCCUCGAGCGUAUGGGGCUUUGUCACCCGCUCGAUAAGGACCGGCCGGGCGCCAGCCGGCGUCUCCAACCUUUUUUUCUCAGGUUGACCUCGGAUCAGGUAGGGAUACCCGCUGAACUUAAGC
rnacentral:misc_RNA from 1 species